rnacentral:rRNA from 1 species
UACGUAGGGACCGAGCGUUGUCCGGAUUCAUUGGGCGUAAAGAGCUCGUAGGCGGCCGCUCAAGUCGAACGUGAAAACUCGGAGCUCAACUCCGAGCCCGCGUUCGAUACUGGGUGGCUAGAGUGCAGAAGGGGCAACUGGAAUUCUCGGUGUAGCGGUGAAAUGCGUAGAUAUCGAGAGGAACACCUGCGGCGAAGGCGGGUUGCUGGGCUGACACUGACGCUGAGGCGCGAAAGCUAGGGGAGCGAACGGG